AUUGAACGCUGGCGGCAUGCUUUACACAUGCAAGUCGAACGGUAACAGGCCGCAAGGUGCUGACGAGUGGCGAACGGGUGAGUAAUGCAUCGGAACGUGCCCAGUCGUGGGGGAUAACGCAGCGAAAGCUGCGCUAAUACCGCAUACGAUCUAUGGAUGAAAGCGGGGGACCGUAAGGCCUCGCGCGAUUGGAGCGGCCGAUGUCAGAUUAGGUAGUUGGUGGGGUAAAGGCUCACCAAGCCAACGAUCUGUAGCUGGUCUGAGAGGACGACCGGCCACACGGGGACUGAGACACGGCCCAGACUCCUACGGGAGGCAGCAGUGGGGAAUUUUGGACAAUGGGCGCAAGCCUGAUCCAGCAAUGCCGCGUGCAGGAAGAAGGCCUUCGGGUUGUAAACUGCUUUUGUACGGAACGAAACGGUCUGGGUUAAUACCCUGGACUAAUGACGGUACCGUAAGAAUAAGCACCGGCUAACUACGUGCCAGCCGCCGCCGAAACAC
rnacentral:rRNA from 1 species